GGUGUUAUAUUUUCCUCAAAUACCGUAGGCUCUAGUUGAACCCUCUGACACUGAGUCUUUUGAGCACUUGUAACAGCUUCGAUGUCGGUUAUCAUUUUUCCUCAGAUUUUGUGUUUCCAGCUUACCAGAACCAACCACCUCAACUUUCUUCACAAUUCAAAACAAAACAUGUUAGAAUGGAUCGGGUCGGUCCUCAUUAUUCACAACAUCUUUUUCCAUUUUUUUAAUUUUUGUUUUUUCAUUUUUUUGUGUUGGUUGUGGUCGAAUCCUAUGUGGAUUGCCUACAUAUCAAGACCCAGCACGAAUCAGACCAGUCGUAGUUCAUACCAAUAAAAGGUAAACGACAAUAAAAUAUUUUUGGAAUUUUCUAUUUUUUAUAAUAACCACAAAAUGUUUUUGGUAUUCACUUGACCACUGACUCUUUUCUUAUUUUUUUCAAAUUAAAAUACAUGACCAUGUAUUGCAAACACGGCCUUCCAACGCCUCGGGGACGAAGAAUUUAAGGCUGUAAGCUAAAAUAAAUGACACGACCUUCCAACUCCUGGGGGACGAAGAUUUUAAGGUAGUGAGGGUCAAAAAUCAAAAUAUGACCAAAGGUGGCUAUUUAUGCAAGGUUAGCCUUCCGACGUUCCGUUUGGGAAAAUUUGACUAUUUUUGACAAAAACGGCUUCACCUGGUUUAUUUAUGACAUAAAUUAAAAUUUUGACAUUUUUUGGGCUAUUUUUGUAAUGGGGAGGUUGGACCUGAUGAGGAUUGCCUACAUAUCUCAUGCCCUGUGAGAAUCAAAUCAUGCGUAGUUCGGGCAAAUAAACUAACUAAAUUUUUUUUAAAACAAAACUUUCUCCAAGAUUUUCUCCAUUAUCUGAUCAAAUCAAAAUGACCAUAUUUUUUCUAUUUUUCAAACAAUUUUUCCCAAGUCACCGAUUUGAAUCCCGAACCGAGAAAAAUUAUGACUCUGUUACAGUAUGCGAACCAGAAAUCCGAGUAAGGAAUUCUAUUAACCUGGGAGAAGGUGUUAGGCAUUCCCGGGUUCCGUGGUUCUAGCUCGGUCGCUUAACUGUUGCAUUUGAUUUUAUCUGAUUUUAAUACAUGCUUAAUUAUGUGCCUUUUAUUUAUAUACUGUUUUAACCAUUAUUUAUUUUAAAAGACUUGCGACAUCGUGAAAACGCGUCUUGACCACGUCGCCAUCAGGGCACCCAUAGUCAUCGAUACAUUUCGACUUCAUCUAGAUUUGGAUUUGGGUUGCAUCAAUGCACACCCUAGUUUAAGAAGAUAUUUCAAUUAAACGCGUCUAAAGAUUCUAGCAUGUUAUUACUUUGGGAAAGACCGUGAAAUUCGCUAAACGACCCUCCCGAAUUCUAAAUAUUUUUAACCUUUAUCGAGGGUCCCGCAAUUGUUUUUGUUUGGCGAGGCUCGUCUCGUUAUUUUGAAAGACAACCUACAAGAUGACUAUAUUUUAUAUUUUUUUAUUUGUCCUUAUAAUUAAAAAAGGGGGGCUAGUUACUCAAUAUUGUUUAGGAAAUAUUACAAAAGCCCUUAAGGUGUUUGGGCUUUGAACUCAUAUAUACCUUUUAACAAAAUGUUUUGACACAUUGGAGUCAUGAAAUAAGCGCAAGCUAGUGGAAUAAUUGAGUCUUGGGCCCAAUCACGAGCCCACUGAAGUAGAGAAGGAAGAUCAGGGGCGUGUUGGUCAGGUCAAUUAAGCCAUAUGUUAUGGCCCUUCCAAUACUUUAGCGGACACUUUCAUCAAACUAAUUUGGUGUUCAAAAUUUGUUAAGGCAGGCAUUUACGCAAGCAAGGAUUUAACGGGCAAACAGAUGAUUGAUAUCCAGGCUCGACUUUCAAAUUUCAAACAAACCAAUUCUUAUAUGCUCUUUCCUAACUAUCAGACAAACUUAAAUGAACAGCUCGGCUAAUAUUCUAUUUAUCAAAGACUAAGAAUCAUCAAAACUGCCCAAUGUCCUAUCAUGUUAUUUUUGAAUGAGUUCAUUAAACUGCUGACAGAUCUUCAACUGAAAUUAACUCAACCUUUUAUACUAACUUAACAUGAAGUUAAUUCACUUUUCAAAGCUCGUAUUCAUUUGAAAUAGAAUGACUAACAGUACAACUAAUUUCAAUAGUCCUGUAUACAACCUGAUUUUCGACCUUAGUUAUGCAAUCCAAAUAUUACAGUAAUAAUGCUAGUCAGUCCCAAUUAUACAGUCCAAAAAUCCAUUAUCAUGAUGACAUUUAAAUACAAAUAAUGAAGUGAAGCUAGGCUGAAUUGAAACUAUGUCAACUAACAGAUACUGUGAAAACUAACUUCACGAUCUAGUUUGAACGAAAACAGAACAAAGAAGACAACGACUAAGGCAAAAACCAUGCUUCCAAUUCACAUACAUUCAUUUCUGCAUACAUCCAACUCACAAUUGUCAUGGAUACAGUUUGUGUACCUGGAAUUUGAAGUUAAGCAGAAGGAGAAGAAGUCAGCAAUAGCAAGGUAGUCAGCAGAACGAAACUCCUGCAAUAAACACAGUUAGUUUCAAUUUCGAAAACUGAAUCAGUGGUCCAAGAAGUUUGAACCAAAUAGGACUAGGAAAUCAGACCCCAAGCAGUACCAAAAUGAAUCAAAUAGACUUGAAAUCAAACCCAAACCACACUAAAAACUUUCAGCAACCCAAGCUCAAUCAAAACCAGUUUAGUUGGACACAAAACCCCUCGAAAAUCAGCCUAGUGAAUAUCUAAAGUAACAGCAACCGAGUACUGAACUAGAAAAGGGUACCUUAGUACACUGAACACUUACCUAAUCUUGAAUCUUGAAAGUAGAGUCUCUUUUUCAAUCAACUGGCAUACCUUGAACCUAGCCCGAAAUUCUUUCUUUACUUUAUCUUAUCAAAUUUCUAGUUUGUGAUCGAGGGCGGCCAAAUAUGAGAUAGGUUGCAGCUAUAGUCAGAACUGAACCUGGCUAAUUUCGUAAUGUUGACCCCACGGAGCGGUAGCGAAGGAGACAGCAAAUGGAUGGAAAUUCUCCACUUUAUGGCUGCCGCCGCUUCUAUCUCCGGCGCUCUGAAUAUCGGGUAUGAUUGUUACUUUCUUGCCUUGCCCCACUCCCACCCACCUCUUCCGAAAAGACAACCUCGAUCAUUCAUUACAUAUGAUAUAUCGAGAGUUCAAGACUAAUUGCAAGUUGAAAUUAGCCUAAAGUAUCUAAUGGAACAGUACAUUUUGGUUUUUGUUGGAGAGUUUUUGUUGUUUAUUUAAUUUUUGUAUGUAUUUUUUUUUUUGUAUUUUCUGUGUAUAUGAAUGCUGAAAAUAAUCUAAGACUAGAAUGAAAGAAGAAAUCCAAUUUUCAUAUGAAAUUUUUAGGCUGAAAAAUGGAAUCCUUUUCACAAGGCAAUGGAUGCCUUUUUAUAGGCAAGAAUGAGGGCAACCCUCGGGUUUUUACUUUUCUUUUUAUCCCUUGCUCAUUUUUCACUUUAAACAUUAAUUUUCUAACUUGCUCCUCAAGUUACUCCCUAAGUUUUACUGAAAUCUACCCUAAAGUCCUAUUCUAGGAGCUUCUAGAAUGCUCUUUUAGCCUCAAAAUACCCUUACUAUCCUUACCCCUUCCUUGAAAUUACUAAUUCUUAAUAUAUUAUCCUUUUCCAUGGCCCAAACUACCCUUGCCAAUUCUUAAAAUUACUGCAACCCUUUCCCCUUUGACCUUUGUCCAAUUUAACCUUGUUAACCUCCUAGAAUUACUAAACCCUUCAUCACUAGAACUAACUAACAGUUAUAACCAAUCAGAAUUACUCUAAAUAUUAGCAAAACAAUUAACAAAUAUCCAACUAAAAUCAAUCCCAACCAUUCCCAAGCAUUGCAUGAGCAUAACUCAAAACAAUCCUAAUUAAAACUACUGAUUAACCAUCUAAGAACUUUCAGCAACUAAGAAAGCAAUAAAUUAAUAACCAGGAAAACUAAAACAGAAUCGAAACUAUCAGGAUGAAACUCAGAUGCAAGAAGAAAGAUUGAAUGCAAUUAACCACUAAACUUCAAUUAACCCCAAAUUAAAUUUUCAUGCAGACUACUUACUGAUUACUAAUCAAACUUAAACUACAGCUAAUCAAAUUGACUAAACAAAACAAACCAAAGCCAAAUUAAUAGAUACUAACCAAGCAGCAAUUGAUAUAUGCAUGAUUAGACUAACAUAUUCUAAACAGAAAUUGAAAACAUAAAUAAGAAGACUUAAUAUGAAGAUCAAUUGAAAUAGAAACAAUCCCCGAACAAGCCAGACGAGACGACCUGGAUGUGGAAUUGAGGGUGGUCCAGUGAGAUUCGAGGGCUUCUUGCUGGGAUUCCAGAUAAGGGAGCCAUGGGGACUAUGAGGUGUGAAUUUGAGCCGAUUUGGAUGAAAUUAUAUUUUGACCGGACUUUUCGAAUUAAGAUUCGACCACUUGAGUGAUGAUUCGAAGAAAAUAGUUAGUAUGGUUGGAAAGAGGAGAGUGAGUAGAGUGGGUGGUGUUAGUUUGGUGGUGAUUGGAAGCGGGGCGGCCACCCUAGGGCGGUGGAAUUUGGUGGGGGUGGUCUCUAGGCUUUUGAGAGAGGAGUGGGGUGUGAGGACGAUGACUGAANNNN
rnacentral:lncRNA from 1 species